GACGAACGCUGGCGGCGUGCUUAACACAUGCAAGUCGAACGAAGUGGCGAACGGGUGAGUAACGCGUAAUCAACCUGCCCUUCAGAGGGGGACAACAGUUGGAACCGACUGCUAAUACCGCAUACUGAAGGAGGGGAUUGCGUCUGAUUAGCUAGUUGGAGGGGUAACGGCCCACCAAGGCGAUGAUCAGGAGCCGGUGGGAGAGGAUGAACGGCCACAUUGGGACUGAGACACGGCCCAGAAGCCUACGGGAGGCAGCAGGGGGGAAUCUUCCGGAAGGGACGAAAGUCUGACGGAGCAACGCCGCGGGAGUGAUGACGGCCUUCGGGGUGUAAAGCUCUGUUAAUCGGGACGCGGUACCGGAAGAGAAAGCCACGGCUAACUACGUGCCAGCAGCCGCGGUAAUAC
rnacentral:rRNA from 1 species